rnacentral:rRNA from 1 species
AAUUUUGUACAAUAGGGGAAACCCUGAUCCAGCCAUCCCGCGUGUAUGAUGAAGGCCUUCGGGUUGUAAAGUACUUUUGGCAGAGAAGAAAAGGUACCUCCUAAUACGAGGUACUGCUGAUGGUAUCUGCAGAAUAAGCAACGGCUAACUACUUGCCAGCAGCCGCGGUAAUACGCAGGGUGCAAGAGUUAAUCGGCAUUACUGGGCGUAAAGCGUGUGUAGGCGGUUCGGAAAGUAAGAUGUGAAAUCCCAGGGCUCAACCUUGGAACUGCAUUUUUAACUGCCGAGCUAGAGUAUGUCAGAGGGGGGUAGAAUUCCACGUGUAGCAGUGAAAUGCGUAGAUAUGUGGAGGAAUACCGAUGGCGAAGGCAGCCCCCUGGGAUAAUACUGACGCUCAGACACGAAAGCGUGGGGAGCAAACAG